rnacentral:tRNA from 1 species
UGAGUGGCCGCUCGUCAGGCUCAUAACCUGAAGGUCAUAGGUUCAAAUCCUAUCCCCACAA